GUCCCAGUAGCGCAAUGGAUAGCGUGUUGGACUUCCAGUCUGAGGGUUGUGGGUUUGAAUCCCACAUGGGACG